rnacentral:rRNA from 1 species
GACGAACGCUGGCGGCGUGCUUAACACAUGCAAGUCGAACGAAGUGGCGAACGGGUGAGUAAUGCGUAAUCAACUUGCCCUUCAGAGGGGGACACUAGUUGGAAACGUCUCCUAAUCCCGCUUACUGAAGGAGGGGAUGGCGUCGGAAUGGCUCGUUGGAGGGGGAACGGCCCAACAAGGCGAGGAUCAGUAGCCGGGCUGGGGGGAUGAACGGCAACAUUGGGACUGGGAAACGGCCCAAGAUCCUACAGGAGGCAGCAAGUGGGAAUCAUCCGCCAUGGGCGAAAGUCUGACGGCGCAACGCCGCGGGGGUGAUGACGGCCUUCGGGUUGUAAAGCUCUGUUAAUCGGGACGCGGUACCGGAAUAGAAAGCCACGGCUAACUACGUGCCAGCAGCCGCGGUAAUUC